rfam:Erinaceus europaeus unplaced genomic scaffold scaffold00476, whole genome shotgun sequence
GGAUGUGAGGGCAAUCUGGCUGCGACAUCUGUCACCGCAUUGAUCGCCAGGGUUGAUUCAGCUGAUCUGGCUGGCUAGGCAGGUGUCCCCUUCCUCCCUCACGGCUCUGUGUGUGUCCCUCCUGAAGCUGCCAUUCAGAUGGCCUUUCCGGAAUAGAGACCGACAGGUCUUUGGUCGAGGGUUAUACAAGUAGCUGCGCUCCCCUGCUAGAACCUUCAAACAAGCUCUCAAGGCCCAAAGUCCCAGGUUUAAGAGUCCCCAUACGACCAUAAGCCAGAGCUGAACAGUGAUCU